rnacentral:rRNA from 1 species
UGCAAGUCGAACGAACUCUGGUAUUGAUUGGUGCUUGCAUCAUGAUUUACAUUUGAGUGAGUGGCGAACUGGUGAGUAACACGUGGGAAACCUGCCCAGAAGCGGGGGAUAACACCUGGAAACAGAUGCUAAUACCGCAUAACAACUUGGACCGCAUGGUCCGAGUUUGAAAGAUGGCUUCGGCUAUCACUUUUGGAUGGUCCCGCGGCGUAUUAGCUAGAUGGUGGGGUAACGGCUCACCAUGGCAAUGAUACGUAGCCGACCUGAGAGGGUAAUCGGCCACAUUGGGACUGAGACACGGCCCAAACUCCUACGGGAGGCAGCAGUAGGGAAUCUUCCACAAUGGACGAAAGUCUGAUGGAGCAACGCCGCGUGAGUGAAGAAGGGUUUCGGCUCGUAAAACUCUGUUGUUGAAGAAGAACAUAUCUGAGAGUAACUGUUCAGGUAUUGACGGUAUUUAACCAGAAAGCCACGGCUAACUACGUGCCAGCAGCCGCGGUAAUACGUAGGUGGCAAGCGUUGUCCGGAUUUAUUGGGCGUAAAGCGAGCGCAGGCGGUUUUUUAAGUCUGAUGUGAAAGCCUUCGGCUCAACCGAAGAAGUGCAUCGGAAACUGGGAAACUUGAGUGCAGAAGAGGACAGUGGAACUCCAUGUGUAGCGGUGAAAUGCGUAGAUAUAUGGAAGAACACCAGUGGCGAAGGCGGCUGUCUGGUCUGUAACUGACGCUGAGGCUCGAAAGUAUGGGUAGCAAACAGGAUUAGAUACCCUGGUAGUCCAUACCGUAAACGAUGAAUGCUAAGUGUUGGAGGGUUUCCGCCCUUCAGUGCUGCAGCUAACGCAUUAAGCAUUCCGCCUGGGGAGUACGGCCGCAAGGCUGAAACUCAAAGGAAUUGACGGGGGCCCGCACAAGCGGUGGAGCAUGUGGUUUAAUUCGAAGCUACGCGAAGAACCUUACCAGGUCUUGACAUACUAUGCAAAUCUAAGAGAUUAGACGUUCCCUUCGGGGACAUGGAUACAGGUGGUGCAUGGUUGUCGUCAGCUCGUGUCGUGAGAUGUUGGGUUAAGUCCCGCAACGAGCGCAACCCUUAUUAUCAGUUGCCAGCAUUAAGUUGGGCACUCUGGUGAGACUGCCGGUGACAAACCGGAGGAAGGUGGGGAUGACGUCAAAUCAUCAUGCCCCUUAUGACCUGGGCUACACACGUGCUACAAUGGAUGGUACAACGAGUUGCGAACUCGCGAGAGUAAGCUAAUCUCUUAAAGCCAUUCUCAGUUCGGAUUGUAGGCUGCAACUCGCCUACAUGAAGUCGGAAUCGCUAGUAAUCGCGGAUCAGCAUGCCGCGGUGAAUACGUUCCCGGGCCUUGUACACACCGCCCGUCACACCAUGAGAGUUUGUAACACCCAAAGUCGGUGGGGUAACCUUUUAGGAACCAGCCG